rnacentral:rRNA from 1 species
UCCAGACUCCUACGGGAGGCAGCAGUGGGGGAUAUUGCACAAUGGGGGGAACCCUGAUGCAGCGACGCCGCGUGGGUGAAGGAGCGUUUCGGCGCGUAAAGCCCUAUCGGCAGGGAAGAAGGAGGACGGUACCUGACUAAGAAGCCCCGGCUAACUACGUGCCAGCAGCCGCGGUAAUACGUAGGGGGCAAGCGUUAUCCGGAUUUACUGGGUGUAAAGGGGGCGCAGACGGCAGCGCAAGCCAGGAGUGAAAGCCCGGGGCCCAACCCUGGGACUGCUCUUGGAACUGCGCGGCUGGAGUGCAGGAGGGGCAGGCGGAAUUCCUGGUGUAGCGGUGAAAUGCGUAGAUAUCAGGAGGAACACCGGUGGCGAAGGCGGCCUGCUGGACUGCGACUGACGUUGAGGCCCGAAAGCGUGGGGAGCAAACAGGAUUAGAUACCCGCGUAA